rnacentral:rRNA from 1 species
CGCUGGCGGCGUGCCUAACACAUGCAAGUCGAACGAGAAAGUGGAGCAAUCCAUGAGUAAAGUGGCGACCGGGUGAGUAACACGUGACUAACCUACCUCCGAGUGGGGAAUAACUCCGGGAAACCGGGGCUAAUACCGCAUAACAUCGCAAGAUCAAAGCAGCAAUGCGCUUGGAGAGGGGGUCGCGGCUGAUUAGCUAGUUGGUAGGGUAACGGCCUACCAAGGCGAAGAUCGGUAUCCGGCCUGAGAGGGCGCACGGACACACUGGAACUGAAACACGGUCCAGACUCCUACGGGAGGCAGCAGUGGGGAAUUUUGCGCAAUGGGGGAAACCCUGACGCAGCAACGCCGCGUGGAGGAUGAAGCCCUUUGGGGCGUAAACUCCUUUCGACUCGGACGAUAAUGACGGUACGAGUGGAAGAAGCACCGGCUAACUCUGUGCCAGCAGCCGCGGUAAUACAGAGGGUGCGAGCGUUGUUCGGAAUUAUUGGGCGUAAAGGGCGCGUAGGCGGUGCGGUAAGUCACCUGUGAAAUCUCCCGGCUUAACUGGGAGCCUGCAGGCGAGACUACCGUGCUGGAGUGUGGGAGAGGUGCGUGGAA